UACGGAGGGUGCGAGCGUUGUCCGGAAUCACUGGGCGUAAAGGGCGCGUAGGCGGCUUCUCAAGCGUGUGGUGAAAGUCCGGGGCUCAACCCCGGAUCGGCCGUGCGGACUGGGGAGCUCGAGUUCUGUAGAGGCAGGCGGAAUUCCGGGUGUAGCGGUGGAAUGCGUAGAGAUCCGGAAGAACACCGGUGGCGAAGGCGGCCUGCUGGGACAGUGCUGACGCUGAAGCGCGACAGCGUGGGGAGCAAACAGG
rnacentral:rRNA from 1 species